GAGCCGAGUAAAUGAACUGCUAAUUCUAAGACCC
rnacentral:tRNA from 1 species